CCCAAGGAAGCACGCAGGGAAGCGCCUAGUGGUCCGACGAGGGCUCCCUAAGCAAGCAACACGAGAGGAGAGGGAGGAGAGUAGGGCAAGCUAGUCACUAGAGGGAGGAGAUUCAAAGCAGAAGGAAGAGCAUGUGCCAGGGUCCUGAGGCAUGAGUGUCCCCAAGGGUUUGGAGGAGAACAAGCAAGCGGGGGCGGGGGUGAGGGAAGGAGAAUGGGACAUGGGGGGCAAGCUGUCUUGAAGCCGUGAUUAGGAGCCCGGAUUUGAUCUGCACCAGGAGCCACUGAGGGUCCUGAGCAGGGGAGUGACGCCUGAUGCACAUUUUAAGAUCUGUUUAGGGAGGCAGGAGGAGGCAGGUGGUUUAGAGUGUGGGCUGGGUAGGGCCGUGCUGGGGACCAAACUGACAUUACCUGCUGUUUGCUGGGAUGUGGGGCACGACAACCUGGCGUUUGGGCUGGAGUGUGGCAGCUGGCCCACUUUCUGGGAUGGGGCAAUGGCCACAGCCGAGUUCUGUUCUGGACACAUGGCCCCCAACGAACGCACAGAGGUGGCUGGGGCUCGCCUCUCCCACCCCCUCCUCAGUCUCCCCUCACCCCCUCCUGUGUGGCCCUUUAGUGGGGUGCCAGAUGCCUUGGAGGCUCGGCUCCCGCUCUUCAGCCUCAACAGGCCUCCUGUCAAGUGUCUGGGUCUCUGCAGAAAGCUGCCUGGCCCCUGGUUUUGCCACCCAAAGCCCUGGCCCACAGUGCUGCUCCUCUGUCUGCCCUCGGGCGUCUCCCCAUCACCUGACUGUGCGGGGACUUUGCAGUCCCAUCCUUGGCCUGGUCCUUGCCCCCAGGCAUACUGUGCUCUGCAGGGUCUGGUGGCCCCUCCCCUCAGCGGAGACAACCAAGAAUGUCUCCAGAGCAGACUUUUAUUACAGAAGAAAACCUUAUCCAUGAGCAGCAGCACAAGGACACGUUCUGGGAUGAGUGCUGGGGAGGCAGCCAGAAACGAACCAGUGCAACACUCACCUGGAUUAAGAAAGCACCACGUGAAAGGUGAACCACAGAAACCACAGAACGAGGACAACACGUCCCCCAGACGUGCAACAUACUCGCUUUCUAAAGACUGAAGAAGUGAAGAGAUUAUAACGUCAAAGUUCAUCUGACGUGCUUGGAAAGUCAUGUCUCCCGUGUGCACGACCACCAGCGGAGUGAGAGCAUCUAGCCCCGCAGCCACCUCCACCUGCCAGGUGUGCGGGGUGUGAGAAUCCCACGACGCCCAGUGCUCAAGCUGACAAGUAAACAAGUGCGUGAUAAAACCAGAUUGCCCCGGGCUGCUGCAGGGACCUGGGGCGCACAAUGGGACAGGGCGCUCUUGUGGACCCCAGUCCGGGGGCGACGUGUGCGCUGGGGCCGAGGGACCCUGGGUGCUCACCCUACAGGCCUCGGAAGCCCACGCCUCCGGAAGCUGCAGACAACCACGGGCAGCAGCGUCCACCUGCCCCCGUGGGCCAGCCUGGAUCCCGGCAGGACUCUGGUCAAGAGGGCCACUGGCGCUGUGGGCUGUGGAACAGGCAGUUGUGAGGCGGACGCGGGAGACACAAUUGCUAAGCUCAGCGCAGAGGUCCCUGGAGGCUCGGAGCAGAGCUGUGUCCUCAGGCAGGAGACACGGAGCCUGCCCAUCAUCUUUGUGGCUGCUCCCACCCUGCGCUGGCCCUCAGCCCACUCCCUUUCCGGUCCCAGCGCUGCUCCCUUGGCCCUUGGGGACACCUCCUUUACCUGGCUGCGAACCUGCCCUCACUUGUCCUGCUCCAGAGAAAAUGUCCAUGUGUCCCCAGUGUCACAGGCGUCUGUCAUGAGCACCAGGACUCGGGCGCCCUGGGCUGUCCUCCCUGGAACCGAGGCCGCAAGGCUGCGCUCAGUCCAGCCGUCCUCCGCAGCGUGUCUUGGGGAAAGGAAUGGUCACAAGUCUUGGUGUCCGGACUCGGGAUGGACAUGAGAGGUCACUAGAAAUCAAGCCCAGGUGACACCCUGGUGCCUACAGCUCCCCAGGAAUGCAGAGGACCUGGCAAGGGUGACCAGAGGUCAGCCCCCCAGUCUGUAGGGAGGGGAGGAAGCAGAGCCCCGCUUGCGAUGUGGACUCACUGCCCAGUCUCCCACAGCGCUGGCUCCCACCUUCCCUCAGAUCGAGGUCGGCAUGAGGCCCGUAGGAACAGAUCCCAGCGUGAAGGGCGAUCUACGGCACGUCCCUGGGACAUCUGCUGGCGUCCCCGUGUCCAUUCCAUUCGAGGUCCUCCGUGGCUCCCCGCCAACCCAGCGCCCUCCAUGUGGGCCAGGUGCCGAGGUGCUCCGUGGAUGCUGCUGUAACUGCCCUCCGGCAACAAGAACCAUGCUCAGCGGGGGGCACCCCAAAGGUUCUCAUGUGGAAGAAGCAUUUCUCUGGGACAUUCCCAGGACUCCAGGGAAGCCGCUGACUUUGCUGGUGGGGUCCCUCCCAGGCUGGGCAGGCUCAGGAUUACCCCUCCUGGGUGGGCGGGGCCAGAGGUGUGCCGGCAGCGCCGGCAGCGGUGCAAGGUGAGCUGCUCUCACGGAAACACCUUCUGAACAAAGAAACGCAGUUAUCACCUGGCUGGCUGCAGGGAAGCUGCGAGCACACAGGUGGGGAGGGCUGGAGAGGCCUGGAGGCAGGACUGGCCGGGGCUCCACCCACGCACCCCAGGCCUGGGCCCGGACAGACCCGGGAGGAGAGCGCUCGUUUCCUGCAAAGUUAAAGUUAGAACAGGAGUGUUGCAGACGCACGUAGCCCUUGGGUGAACGGGACACACCGGAGGCCACCGAAGCCGGGCGCCCAGUCCCCGCGGGCCGCUGCUCCACCCCGUUGGCUUCUGCGCUUCAUCAGCAGCAUCUUGGGCGACCGACUUCCUUUGUUCUGAGCCACAGACAUGGACGGGCAUCUGCUUGCUUCGCUGCUGACGUACAUGUGAAGUCAGCUGUGGUUUUCCUGGAGGAGGCGCCAAGGGCUGUCGGCAGGCAUGGCCACCUCCCAUGCCUCGCUACGAACAUGAACACCUGGCAAGAAGCCCCACGCCCACUGUGGGACUUGAACUCACAACCCGGAGAUCAAGAGUCGCAGGUUCCACCCACAGAGCCUGCCGGGCGCCCCCAGAGCCACCAUCCUUAAAACAGUUGGGGUGAAGCAGCAGUGCCCUGAGGACUUCACGUGAGUCACCGAGUCAGGUUAAGCACCGUCAGCAUCCCACGUCAUGCCUGCGGAAACUGAGGCAGCACGAGGUUAAGAGAGGCCCAGGUCCCACCUGGGCAAGGUCACUAACCCCUGUGUUCUUCACCACCCACCUCCUCUCCAGAGAGCAAAGCCAUAUUGGGUGGGAGUCUAUUUCUUUGUCUCCUAACAAACUGGCACGGACGAAAACGCACCUGCCUGCCGCUGGAGAGGAGGGCAAACCCGCUGUCUGUGCGCUGCCGGGGCGCCAACCGCCACAGCCCGGAGAAGGGUCCCGGCCAGGCUCAUCUCCACCGUCGUACCACGUCUGGAGACCCAUCCUGCUGCCCUGAAUACAGAAAAGAAAGCGUCUGCCAACUGUGCUCUGGACGCAGGAGCCGCUGACACCCAAGCAGUGUGCUUCCUCGCACCCGGUGCUCAUACACGUCUCCUUACUGUCUCUGCCGAACAUCUGAGAGUAAAUUGCAGACCUCGUGCCCGUGUCCUUGGAAAGCUUAGUGUGCGUCUCUGACAACCAGGAUGAGGCCCGGGAUGACCACAGGCCACAAGCCAAGCACGGAGUGCGGAGACAGAUGCAGCCCUGCCACCCAGUGGACAGCAUGGACAUAAGGACCUUCCUGCAGGAUAUAUUCCCCAAAGACCAAGGCCAUUCUGGGGCUCCAAACAGCUGGAAGUGCAUCAUUUCCCUAGUAAAAGCCCUGUUGCCUCCUAAGUGACUGUCACAUCACCCUCCUCACACCGUUGGAAACUCUGGGACCCCUGGCAGCUCUCUGCAGAGCGAGGAGCCCCAUGUGGAUCACUCCUGGAGGGCAGCCUAGGGUGGGCACGGAGUGGGGACUCGCCCGGGGGAGAUGGGGCCUGGGGACCAGGUGAGAAGACGUGAAACUGACCUGGACGCUGACCCCUGGGGGGCAGGGCGCACUGGCUCCCUUCUGGACACCCCCGUGGCAGAUGCAGGCUGGCCUGAGCUGCCCUCACAUCCUUGGGGCCCCCACAUGUCCAGGGCAGGAAUUGCCCGCGAUGGCAGCCCGUAGAUCCUGGGUGAUCCACACGGCGCGUCAGGCCGCUCACCGUGGCAGGGGCUGGGCUGGGUGGAGGCAGGAGGGGCCAGUUCCCAGGGACACGGGGUGAGGGCAGGGGUUCCAGGGCUGGUGCUGCACGGCUGGAGGGGGGAAGCCGGGGCACAAACCGCAGGACUGUCACCACGGCCAGCCUCGCAGGGACAGCAGGUGGGUGGCGUGGCACCAGGGCACCGACCGCGGAGCACCGCUGUCUAGCUCAGCGCUGCAGGCUCCUGCCUGGUGCACAGGGAUGGGCUCGGGGCCUGGCAGGUCCACAGUCUGCAGACUGGAGUCCCCCCAAGGAGCAGGUGAGAGGGCGGAAAGCAGAGCAGACGCCACGGGCAGAGGCUGCAGGUGCUGGGCCGCUCCCCGGAAGCCACGGCCUCCGGGCACAGACAGCGGGGGAUACCCCGUCUCUGGUGCCGCGGCCACAGGUGCCUCCCGCGUUAUCACGGGAUCUUGAUCCAGGGCUGCUUCGCACCGGAGAGGUCUGUACCACGCUCGGGCACUUGCUUACUGUGCAGGCUGACUUUCCUGAUGACGGCGGGGCGGCGCGCAGGUGCAUGGGGCUCGGGGCCUGCCCGGCACCCAUCGGGCACUCAGGAGGGACAGCGGGCGCGCGGCCCCCACGGGCCCCAUCGGCACAGGCAGUGGCUCGGCAGCUUCCUACACUCAGUGCUUCUUCCGCGGGUGACGCUUCCGAUGGCGGAUGAGGCAGGAGCUGUAGGCAAAGGUCUUCCCGCAUUCCUGGCACUCGUACGGCUUCUCCCCGGUGUGCGUCUUCCGAUGUUUCAGGAGGUUGGAGCCGCAGUUGAAGGCCUUCCCGCAUUCGCUGCAUUUGAAGGGCUUUUCUCCAGUAUGGAUUCUGUGGUGCUUGGUGACGUCGGAGCUGUGGCGGAACGUCUUCCCACACGCGUCGCACGGGAAGGGCUUCUCUCCUGUGUGUACCCGCUGGUGGCGGAGGUGGUCUGUCUUGUGCUUAAAGACGCGGCCGCACUCCCCGCACUCGUAGGGCUUCUUUCUCUGGAAAGGAGUGAACACAGGGACCCCCUCAAAGUCAUCUUUAAACGAAGCAUCGAAGGCGUCAAAUAAAUGUUCUUCAUCC